UUAAACAGAUUGUUUGCCUGAAAAGGCAUGGCUGGUGAUUUAAACGUCACCGGCCU
rfam:Colwellia psychrerythraea 34H, complete genome.